AAACCAAACACACCUUUUAAUUUUGUUAGUUUGCGCAGCAGCCCUUCUCUCCUUCAUUCGUUCUUCCCGUAAACCCUAAAACCCCUUUCAAAGCAAGCCGCCGAUUGCCGAAUUUCCUCCGGAUUCGCCGUUCGAUAUGGCGAGGUCGGCAGUGAAAUUCAAGACUCCGAAGCAAGGGAGAAUCAAACGGGAGCUUGAGAAGCGUGCUCCAAAAUUGGUGGAAACCGGGAAGAAGACGCUCAUACUCCACGGCACAAAAACGAGCGGAGUCUUGAAUACAGUGUUGACAGAAAUAUAUCACCUGAAGAGGACUGAUUCCGUGAAGUACUCACGAAAGAAUGACAAAAUUAGGCCGUUUGAGACCGGCGGCGAAACGUCGCUGGAGUUUUUCUCCCAGAAAUCGGACUGCAGCUUGUUUGUUUAUGGUUCUCACUCAAAGAAGAGGCCAAACAAUCUUGUAGUCGGGCGUAUGUAUGAUCAUAAAGUUUAUGAUCUUGUAGAGGUUGGUAUAGAGAAUUUCCGAAGCAUGGAGUCUUUCUCGUAUGACAAGAAGUUGGCUCCUCAAAUCGGAUCAAAGCCCUUUUUUGCUUUUAUUGGAGAGGCUUUUGAGAAUGUGGACGAGCUGAAACAUUUAAAAGAAGUAUUGCUUGAUCUUUUCCAUGGGGAGGCUGUAACAAAUUUGAACUUGGCUGGAGUUGAUCGAGUUUAUCUGUGCACUGCCUUGUCUCCGAAUAGAAUUUUCUUCACUCACUGUGCUUUGCGCCUUAAAAAGUCGGGAACUGUAGUGCCAAGGAUGGAGCUGGUUGAAGUUGGUCCAUCCAUGGACAUGGUUGUUAGGAGGCAUCGACUGCCAGACGAUGGCAUUAAAAAAGAAGCAAUGAAGAUAGCUCCUGAAUUGAUGAAGAAGAAGGAAAAGAAUGUUGUGAAGGAUGCUAUACAAGGGAAGAUCGGAAAGAUUUAUAUGCCUGAUCAGAAGGUCGGAAGCGUGCCAUUUAACAACAUUUCAAAGGGGGUAAAAAGAGAGCGACGAGAAGCUAAGAUGAAGGGUGAAGGUCACAAACCGGCGGAAAAGAAGCAGAAGCAGGAACAGGAACAGGAACCAGAACAAGAAGAAUGACCGAAGAAGCCUUAAGCAAGCAACAUAUUUUUGCGCAGUUACAAUAGUCUAAGGAUCAUCUGUCUACACAGUGCAUGGUAUCUACCUUCGUUCUCAGUCUUCGUCUCGCCAGUUUCUGAACCCAAUAUCAAUUCCCCAAAUAUCUGUUAAUCCAUCACCGGCACCUUCGCCGAGAGCAUCCCAUGAAUCAUUGAUAUCGGUGCCGGUGGCGUCGUAUUCCAUACCCCAUACGUCUGCUGCAUCCCUCGGUUGAGCUCCCGUUGCGUUGGUCGAGCAUUGCCCGGUACCUUCAACCCGAGAUGGCACAGGUUCGUCUGGCUGAAGCUUUACAUACUUAUGCGGCGAUCCAGUCGAACUAAUCGUCUUCUGCUUCCUUGCUUCCCUCAGACAGGAUAAAAUUGCGGGCUUUUGCAGCAUGUUCGCCAAGAACGAAACCAUUUGCUUUUGUCGCUUCUCGGCUGCGAUGAGCUUCUCCUUCACAGCUUCCACGUGCUGCACCGUCCCGCGCUGCUCCUGCUGCAGCUGAACCAGCUCCUCCAUCAUCAUCCGCCGCUCUUUCCUCAAGCUUUCGACUUUGCCUUCAAGCGCAUCAUCCGAUCUCACAAUCUGAUGCGAUCUGCGCCGUUGAAUCAUUCUCAGCAGAUGCCUCUGCCCUUUCGCAAACCCCUCGUUUUUGAACUCCCAUUUGUCUGUCCCGAUCUUGUGAAAGCC